rnacentral:rRNA from 1 species
ACUGCUCAGUAACACGUGGACAAUCUGCCCUGAAGUGGAGAAUAAUCCCGGGAAACUGGGGGUAAUACUCCAUAGUUCGUUAUUACUGGAAUGUUUUUCGAACGAAAGAUCCGUCGCUUCAGGAUGAGUCUGCGGCCGAUUAGGUAGUUGUUGGGGUAAUUGCCCAACAAGCCUGUAAUCGGUACGGGUUGUGGGAGCAAGAGCCCGGAGAUGGAUUCUGAGACACGAAUCCAGGCCCUACGGGGCGCAGCAGGCGCGAAAACUUUACCAUGCGGGCAACCGUGAUAAGGAAACCCCGAGUGCCAGCACAGGCUGGCUGUCCGCCAGUUUAAACAACUGGCGAAGAAAGGGCCGGGCAAGACCGGUGCCAGCCGCCGCGGUAAUACCGGCGGCUCGAGUGGUGGCCGCUAUUACUGGGCUUAAAGGGUCCGUAGCUUGAUAAUAGGGUCCCUUGAGAAAUCCGCCGGCUUAACUGGCGGGCGUUCAGGGGAAACUUGUUUUCUAGGGACCGGGAGAGGUGAGGGGUACUGCCGGGGUAGGAGUGAAAUCCUGUAAUCCCGGUGGGACCACCUAUGGCGAAGGCAUCUCACCAGAACGGGUCCGACAGUGAGGGACGAAAGCUGGGGGAGCAAACCGGAUUAGAUACCCGGGUAGUCCCAGCUGUAAACUAUGUGCGUUAGGUGUGUCAGUGACCACGUGUCACUGAGGUGCCGAAGGGAAACCGUGAAACGCACCGCCUGGGGAGUACGGUCGCAAGGCUGAAACUUAAAGGAAUUGGCGGGGGAGCAC